rnacentral:rRNA from 1 species
AGUGAACGCUGGCGGUAGGCCUAACACAUGCGAGUCGAACGGCAGCACAGUAAGAGCUUGCUCUUACGGGUGGCGAGUGGCGGACGGGUGAGGAAUACAUCGGAAUCUACUUUUUCGUGGGGGAUAACGUAGGGAAACUUACGCUAAUACCGCAUACGACCUACGGGUGAAAGCAGGGGAUCUUCGGACCUUGCGCGAUUGAAUGAGCCGAUGUCGGAUUAGCUAGUUGGCGGGGUAAAGGCCCACCAAGGCGACGAUCCGUAGCUGGUCUGAGAUGAUGAUCAGCCACACUGGAACUGAGACACGGUCCAGACUCCUACGGGAGGCAGCAGUGGGGAAUAUUGGACAAUGGGCGCAAGCCUGAUCCAGCCAUACCGCGUGGGUGAAGAAGGCCUUCGGGUUGUAAAGCCCUUUUGUUGGGAAAGAAAAGCAGCAGGUUAAUACCCCGCUGUUCUGACGGUACCCAAAGAAUAAGCACCGGCUAACUUCGUG